AGAGUUUGAUCCUGGCUCAGGAUGAACGCUAGCUACAGGCUUAACACAUGCAAGUCGAGGGGCAGCAUGUUGGUUGCUUGCAACCAACGAUGGCGACCGGCGCACGGGUGAGUAACGCGUAUCCAACCUACCCUUGUCCAUCGGAUAACCCGUCGAAAGGCGGCCUAACACGAUAUGCGGUUCACAGCAGGCAUCUAACGUGAACGAAAUGUGAAGGAGAAGGAUGGGGAUGCGUCUGAUUAGCUUGUGGCGGGUAACGCCACAAGGCUACGAUCAGUAGGGUUCUGAGAGGAAGGUCCCCCANAUUGGAACUGAGACACGGUCCAAACUCCGUACGGGAGCA
rnacentral:rRNA from 1 species